GAAGGUUAUUGACCUGGCCUGGUUCACAUCUGACGGUGCUGAUCUUGAGAGCAAAUGAAUUCUGGUGCCUGUGGGCUUGUAGGGCUUCCAGUUUCUCAGCAGAUAAGCAUUGGCUGGCCUUCUCUUUCAGACUGGAUUGUGCAAACACACCCCUAAUGAUUCCCACGGAUCACGCAACUGGAAUGAGAUGGGCUGCUGGAAGCAGCAGUUACUGAGAUCUGGCACUGGUCCUCUCUGAUUGUGUGGGACACGGAGUUCAGCAAGGGGCUGGAGGCCAAAGUCCUGGCACCUGCAGCCUGUCACCACACUCUUAAGCAGGUACUGAGAGGCGGUGGCAUGUGAAGCAUGCAAUACAAAGUGAUGCAGAGGAAUGUAAUGAAAGAUGCAGGAAGCUUAUGACACUUUUGCCUGGUUGGGACCCAUACAUGGAACACAGUCCAGAUCUGGCUCCAAAGAGCUUUCAGCAUCAAUCAACAAGACAAUGUGAAGAAGAGGAGGAGGAGAGAGGCAGUGUUACUUGCCCAAAUAUUAACUCAACAGCUCUUCAAAAAGGAGGUUGCCGUUUUGCUUUGUAGGCUUCACCCCUGGUUUCCCUCAAGACUAGGUGUGAAGGAAAAGUACAAGUGCUGCGCUCCUAUUCCUAUGGAUUUCAUAACGUGCAAAGCUUCAAUGGGCACCAGAGGUCCUGGAUUUAGCCAUCUUCACCUGCCUGGCUUGGAGGGGAAGAAUUCUUUCCCCGUGCUGUGGGGAUUUAGACACAUUGCUUUUCUGGCUCCACUUCAGCAACAAGCUCAGUGCUCAACAGCUGAUUUCCCUCUUCCUCCCGGGCCGCGUCUUGUGCGCGUUCACAUCACAUGGUGCUGCUGAUCUGUUUUCCUUUCUGCGUCCUGCUGAAGGUUUGGGCAUAUUAAUCAGAAGUGAGAGUGUCAUUCCCCAACAUUAUUCUACCAGAGGAAACAUGGAUGAGAAACAGUCUGUGUGCAACUCCCAGGUGCAGGUAGGGACCUUCUUUCUACCUUUACACAUAGAUAGAUAGGGACCUUGACCUCCAGCAACUACUAGAUAGAUCUCAGUACAUUUUUUGGAUUUGGUUCAGUGGG
rnacentral:lncRNA from 1 species